rnacentral:rRNA from 1 species
GAUUAAGUUAUUAAGGGCGCACGGUGGAUGCCUUGGCACUAGAAGCCGAUGAAGGACGUUACUAACGACGAUAUGCUUUGGGGAGCUGUAAGUAAGCUUUGAUCCAGAGAUUUCCGAAUGGGGAAACCCAGCAUGAGUUAUGUCAUGUUAUCGAUAUGUGAAUACAUAGCAUAUCAGAAGGCACACCCGGAGAACUGAAACAUCUUAGUACCCGGAGGAAGAGAAAGAAAAUUCGAUUCCCUUAGUAGCGGCGAGCGAAACGGGAAGAGCCCAAACCAACAAGCUUGCUUGUUGGGGUUGUAGGACACUCUAUACGGAGUUACAAAGGACGACAUUAGACGAAUCAUCUGGAAAGAUGAAUCAAAGAAGGUAAUAAUCCUGUAGUCGAAAAUGUUGUCUCUCUUGAGUGGAUCCUGAGUACGACGGAGCACGUGAAAUUCCGUCGGAAUCUGGGAGGACCAUCUCCUAAGGCUAAAUACUCUCUAGUGACCGAUAGUGAACCAGUACCGUGAGGGAAAGGUGAAAAGCACCCCGGAAGGGGAGUGAAAUAGAACCUGAAACCGUGUGCUUACAAGUAGUCAGAGCCCGUUAAUGGGUGAUGGCGUGCCUUUUGUAGAAUGAACCGGCGAGUUACGAUUUGAUGCAAGGUUAAGCAGUAAAUGUGGAGCCGUAGCGAAAGCGAGUCUGAAUAGGGCGUUUAGUAUUUGGUCGUAGACCCGAAACCAGGUGAUCUACCCUUGGUCAGGUUGAAGUUCAGGUAACACUGAAUGGAGGACCGAACCGACUUACGUUGAAAAGUGAGCGGAUGAACUGAGGGUAGCGGAGAAAUUCCAAUCGAACCUGGAGAUAGCUGGUUCUCUCCGAAAUAGCUUUAGGGCUAGCCUCAAGUGAUGAUUAUUGGAGGUAGAGCACUGUUUGGACGAGGGGCCCCUCUCGGGUUACCGAAUUCAGACAAACUCCGAAUGCCAAUUAAUUUAACUUGGGAGUCAGAACAUGGGUGAUAAGGUCCGUGUUCGAAAGGGAAACAGCCCAGACCACCAGCUAAGGUCCCAAAAUAUAUGUUAAGUGGAAAAGGAUGUGGCGUUGCCCAGACAACUAGGAUGUUGGCUUAGAAGCAGCCAUCAUUUAAAGAGUGCGUAAUAGCUCACUAGUCGAGUGACACUGCGCCGAAAAUGUACCGGGGCUAAACAUAUUACCGAAGCUGUGGAUUGUCCUUUGGACAAUGGUAGGAGAGCGUUCUAAGGGCGUUGAAGCAUGAUCGUAAGGACAUGUGGAGCGCUUAGAAGUGAGAAUGCCGGUGUGAGUAGCGAAAGAUGGGUGAGAAUCCCGUCCACCGAUUGACUAAGGUUUCCAGAGGAAGGCUCGUCCGCUCUGGGUUAGUCGGGUCCUAAGCUGAGGCCGACAGGCGUAGGCGAUGGAUAACAGGUUGAUAUUCCUGUACCACCUAUAAUCGUUUUAAUCGAUGGGGGGACGCAGUAGGAUAGGCGAAGCGUGCGAUUGGAUUGCACGUCUAAGCAGUAAGGCUGAGUAUUAGGCAAAUCCGGUACUCGUUAAGGCUGAGCUGUGAUGGGGAGAAGACAUUGUGUCUUCGAGUCGUUGAUUUCACACUGCCGAGAAAAGCCUCUAGAUAGAAAAUAGGUGCCCGUACCGCAAACCGACACAGGUAGUCAAGAUGAGAAUUCUAAGGUGAGCGAGCGAACUCUCGUUAAGGAACUCGGCAAAAUGACCCCGUAACUUCGGGAGAAGGGGUGCUCUUUAGGGUUAACGCCCAGAAGAGCCGCAGUGAAUAGGCCCAAGCGACUGUUUAUCAAAAACACAGGUCUCUGCUAAACCGUAAGGUGAUGUAUAGGGGCUGACGCCUGCCCGGUGCUGGAAGGUUAAGAGGAGUGGUUAGCUUCUGCGAAGCUACGAAUCGAAGCCCCAGUAAACGGCGGCCGUAACUAUAACGGUCCUAAGGUAGCGAAAUUCCUUGUCGGGUAAGUUCCGACCCGCACGAAAGGCGUAACGAUUUGGGCACUGUCUCAACGAGAGACUCGGUGAAAUCAUAGUACCUGUGAAGAUGCAGGUUACCCGCGACAGGACGGAAAGACCCCGUGGAGCUUUACUGUAGCCUGAUAUUGAAAUUCGGCACAGCUUGUACAGGAUAGGUAGGAGCCUUUGAAACGUGAGCGCUAGCUUACGUGGAGGCGCUGGUGGGAUACUACCCUAGCUGUGUUGGCUUUCUAACCCGCACCACUUAUCGUGGUGGGAGACAGUGUCAGGCGGGCAGUUUGACUGGGGCGGUCGCCUCCUAAAAGGUAACGGAGGCGCUCAAAGGUUCCCUCAGAAUGGUUGGAAAUCAUUCAUAGAGUGUAAAGGCAUAAGGGAGCUUGACUGCGAGACCUACAAGUCGAGCAGGGUCGAAAGACGGACUUAGUGAUCCGGUGGUUCCGCAUGGAAGGGCCAUCGCUCAACGGAUAAAAGCUACCCCGGGGAUAACAGGCUUAUCUCCCCCAAGAGUUCACAUCGACGGGGAGGUUUGGCACCUCGAUGUCGGCUCAUCGCAUCCUGGGGCUGUAGUCGGUCCCAAGGGUUGGGCUGUUCGCCCAUUAAAGCGGUACGCGAGCUGGGUUCAGAACGUCGUGAGACAGUUCGGUCCCUAUCCGUCGUGGGCGUAGGAAAUUUGAGAGGAGCUAUCCUUAGUACGAGAGGACCGGGAUGGACAUACCUCUGGUGUACCAGUUGUCGUGCCAACGGCAUAGCUGGGUAGCUAUGUGUGGACGGGAUAAGUGCUGAAAGCAUCUAAGCAUGAAGCCCCCCUCAAGAUGAGAUUUCCCAACUUCGGUUAUAAGAUCCCUCAAAGAUGAUGAGGUUAAUAGGUUCGAGGUGGAAGCAUGGUGACAUGUGGAGCUGACGAAUACUAAUCGAUCGAAGACUUAAUCAA